ACUGCUCCCUGAGAGAGCAGGACAGGAUUUCCCUGCGCGGGGAGUGAAAGCAGAAGGCGCAGUCACGACGCGCCCCCUACUGGUCAGCGAGGAGAAAUCCCUCACCUCAGGUUUCAAUUAGUGCGGAAGAAAGAAAAAAAGAGGGUAUCAGAAACAGACCCAGAGAUGACUGGGGUCUGGGAGGAGGAAGCUGGAGAACCGGCUAAGGACAAGAAAAGAGCCAUUGGAGAGAGAAAGAGAUGAAGUGGAAGACAGUGAGUGAGGGGCUGGCAGAAGGAUUUCCCCUCUUCAAACUAGAGGAGAACUUCCUCAGCCUCCAUGCAGCCGGCCAGAUCCUAGGGCAAAGCUCUGGCUAGAGAAGGCAAGGACAGGCAAGAAAAUGUUUUAGAAAAAGACCCUUUCCAUCUGGAAUGCUUUUUCCAACUCCCUUCACACCUUCAGGCUGGCUUCUAGUUGCACCAGGAACUCUGGGCCCACGUGUGAGGUGCGGGGGCAACACUGUCCAUCGAGAGGACCUGUGGCUGCCUCCUCAUCCCUUCCACCAAGCGCAGGAUGGCACCAUUGCUGGCUUCUGCUGCCCUCUGUUGUGGUCCUGUACCUCCUCACCUGCUCAGAUGCUCCGCGGGGACUGAUGGAGCUCUUCCUGGUCUCCAGUGGUUCUUACUGGGUAGUGCUGGACAACAGAGUACCAGGAAGGCAGGGACCUGGCCAAGCGCACAUACGCAUGAGUGGAGGAAAUUUUACAAUUUUUAGGAAGCAACAAAGUAUAAAGUGGGAAUUGCACAUCUUC
rnacentral:lncRNA from 1 species